rnacentral:rRNA from 1 species
AGUGAACGCUGGCGGUAGGCCUAACACAUGCAAGUCGAACGGCAGCACAGUAAGAGCUUGCUCUUACGGGUGGCGAGUGGCGGACGGGUGAGGAAUACAUCGGAAUCUACUUUUUCGUGGGGGAUAACGUAGGGAAACUUACGCUAAUACCGCAUACGACCUACGGGUGAAAGCAGGGGAUCUUCGGACCUUGCGCGAUUGAAUGAGCCGAUGUGGGAUUAGCUAGUUGGCGGGGUAAAGGCCCACCAAGGCGACGAUCCGUAGCUGGUCUGAGAGGAUGAUCAGCCACACUGGAACUGAGACACGGUCCAGACUCCUAAGGGAGGCAGCAGUGGGGAAUAUUGGACAAUGGGCGCAAGCCUGAUCCAGCCAUACCGCGUGGGUGAAGAAGGCCUUCGGGUUGUAAAGCCCUUUUGUUGGGAAAGAAAAGCAGCAGGUUAAUACCCCGCUGUUCUGACGGUACCCAAAGAAUAAGCACCGGCUAACUUCGUG